UAAGGUGCAUCUAGUGCAGAUAGUGAAGUAGACUAGCACCUACUGCCCUAAGUGCUCCUUCUGG
ensembl:miRNA